GGAAAGAAGAUAGCUUUUGUUAUGGCUCAUUUGAGAAGAUGGAAGAAGGAAUCUGCUUUCUUCAAGAGAGCCAAGAAGCUUUUUGAUGUCCAAAUCAUACAUACCGAGCCUCCGCCCGAUGGGUCUAGGAUUGGGGUGGUUGUAUACCUUUUCACCGGGAAAAGAUAGCCACUAUAGUCAAUCAAGGCUAGAUGUUGGUGGGAUGUCAGUCUGAAUCUUAUUGUCAUGUCAUGUAUAACAAUGGGGAUGGGGUUAGCCCA
rnacentral:misc_RNA from 1 species